CGUCUCCUCCAUGUCUCCGCUGAUGUGGAUUGACCCGCUCCCCACGAGCGGGUUUUUUUG
rnacentral:ncRNA from 1 species